GAUGAACGCUGACAGAAUGCUUAACACAUGCCAGUCAACUUGAAUUUGGGUUUUUACCUUAGGUUUGGGUGGCGGACGGGUGAGUAACGCGUAAAGAACUUGCCUCACAGCUAGGGACAACAUUUGGAAACGAAUGCUAAUACCUAAUAUUAUGAUAAUAGGGCAUCCUAUAAUUAUGAAAGCUAUAAGCGCUGUGAGAGAGCUUUGCGUCCCAUUAGCUAGUUGGAGAGGUAACGGCUCACCAAGGCGAUGAUGGGUAGCCGGCCUGAGAGGGUGAUCGGCCACAAGGGGACUGAGACACGGCCCUUACUCCUACGGGAGGCAGCAGGGGGGAAUAUUGGACAAUGGACCAAGAGUCUGAUCCAGCAAUUCUGUGUGCACGAUGAAGUUUUUCGGAAUGUAAAGUGCUUUCAGUUGGGAAGAAAGAAAUGACGGUACCAACAGAAGAAGUGACGGCUAAAUACGUG
rnacentral:rRNA from 1 species